rnacentral:rRNA from 1 species
AGGAUGAACGCUGGCGGCGUGCCUAAUACAUGCAAGUCGAGCGAACGGACGAGAAGCUUGCUUCUCUGAUGUUAGCGGCGGACGGGUGAGUAACACGUGGAUAACCUACCUAUAAGACUGGGAUAACUUCGGGAAACCGGAGCUAAUACCGGAUAAUAUUUUGAACCGCAUGGUUUAAAAGUGAAAGACGGUCUUGCUGUCACUUAUAGAUGGAUCCGCGCUGCAUUAGCUAGUUGGUAAGGUAACGGCUUACCAAGGCAACGAUGCAUAGCCGACCUGAGAGGGUGAUCGGCCAGACUGGAACUGAGACACGGUCCAGACUCCUACGGGAGGCAGCAGUAGGGAAUCUUCCGCAAUGGGCGAAAGCCUGACGGAGCAACGCCGCGUGAGUGAUGAAGGUCUUCGGAUCGUAAAACUCUGUUAUUAGGGAAGAACAUAUGUGUAAGUAACUGUGCACAUCUUGACGGUACCUAAUCAGAAAGCCACGGCUAACUACGUGCCAGCAGCCGCGGUAAUACGUAGGUGGCAAGCGUUAUCCGGAAUUAUUGGGCGUAAAGCGC